GGGAUUAGUGGCGAACGGGUGAGUAACACGUGAGUAACCUGCCCUUAACUCUGGGAUAAGCCUGGGAAACUGGGUCUAAUACCGGAUAUGACUCCUCAUCGCAUGGUGGGGGGUGGAAAGCUUUUUGUGGUUUUGGAUGGACUCGCGGCCUAUCAGCUUGUUGGUGAGGUAAUGGCUUACCAAGGCGACGACGGGUAGCCGGCCUGAGAGGGUGACCGGCCACACUGGGACUGAGACACGGCCCAGACUCCUACGGGAGGCAGCAGUGGGGAAUAUUGCACAAUGGGCGCAAGCCUGAUGCAGCGACGCCGCGUGAGGGAUGACGGCCUUCGGGUUGUAAACCUCUUUCAGUAGGGAAGAAGCGAAAGUGACGGUACCUGCAGAAGAAGCGCCGGCUAACUACGUGCCAGCAGCCGCGGUAAUACGUAGGGCGCAAGCGUUAUCCGGAAUUAUUGGGCGUAAAGAGCUCGUAGGCGGUUUGUCGCGUCUGCCGUGAAAGUCCGGGGCUCAACUCCGGAUCUGCGGUGGGUACGGGCAGACUAGAGUGAUGUAGGGGAGACUGGAAUUCCUGGUGUAGCGGUGAAAUGCGCAGAUAUCAGGAGGAACACCGAUGGCGAAGGCAGGUCUCUGGGCAUUAACUGACGCUGAGGAGCGAAAGCAUGGGGAGCGAACAGGAUUAGAUACCCUGGUAGUCCAUGCCGUAAACGUUGGGCACUAGGUGUGGGGGACAUUCCACGUUUUCCGCGCCGUAGCUAACGCAUUAAGUGCCCCGCCUGGGGAGUACGGCCGCAAGGCUAAAACUCAAAGGAAUUGACGGGGGCCCGCACAAGCGGCGGAGCAUGCGGAUUAAUUCGAUGCAACGCGAAGAACCUUACCAAGGCUUGACAUGAACCGGUAACGCCUGGAGACAGGUGCCCCGCUUGCGGUCGGUUUACAGGUGGUGCAUGGUUGUCGUCAGCUCGUGUCGUGAGAUGUUGGGUUAAGUCCCGCAACGAGCGCAACCCUCGUUCUAUGUUGCCAGCACGUGAUGGUGGGGACUCAUAGGAGACUGCCGGGGUCAACUCGGAGGAAGGUGGGGACGACGUCAAAUCAUCAUGCCCCUUAUGUCUUGGGCUUCACGCAUGCUACAAUGGCCGGUACAAAGGGUUGCGAUACUUGUGAGGUGGAGCUAAUCCCAAAAAGCCGGUCCCAGUUC
rnacentral:rRNA from 1 species